rnacentral:tRNA from 1 species
AAGGGUAUAGCUCAAUGGUAGAGCGCAGGCUUAGCAUAUACGGGGUCCUGGGUUCAAUCCCCAGUACCUCCA